rnacentral:lncRNA from 1 species
CGAGUUGUUUGUGUGUUGAAACCAUGGAGGUGAAGCUCCAAAUUUAUAGCAGAAAAAGGGUGCUUGUUGUUUGACAAUUAUUCUGAAAAUUUGCAGCUAAGAACGCAGCGUACCAGUAGGCUAAUACUGUCUCUAUAUUUUAAUGAUUUACCGUAGACUUCACGCAAGCAAUAUAUGCCAAUUUAAUGGCAAUACCUGAGACAUUUUUGUUGAACACUAAUUCCUAUGACAUUUCAUUAAAGAGUUAC